AUACGGAGGGUGCAAGCGUUAUUCGGAAUUACUGGGCGUAAAGCGCACGUAGGCCGCUUUGUAAGUCAGGGGUGAAAUCCCACGGCUCAACCGUGGAACUGCCCUUGAAACUGCGAAGCUUGAAUCCUGGAGAGGGUGGGCGGAAUUCCUGGUGUAGGAGUGAAAUCCGUAGAUAUCAGGAGGAACACCGGUGGCGAAGGCGGCCACCUGGACAGGCAUUGACGCUGAGGUGCGAAAGUGUGGGGAGC
rnacentral:rRNA from 1 species